rnacentral:tRNA from 1 species
GCCGGAUUGGUGGAAUGGCAGACGCGACGGACUCAAAAUCCGUUGGUAGCAAUACCGUGUGGGUUCAAGUCCCACCUUCGGCAC